GGAGGUUGCAAGCGUUGUUCGGGAUUUACUGGGGCGUAAAGGGAGCGCAGGCGGCUAAGUCAGUCUGGGAGUGAAAGCCCGGGGGGGCUCAACCCCGGGAAUUGCUUUGGAUACUGCUUGGCUUGAGUAUGUCAGAGGUGAGCGGAAUUCCAGGUGUAGCGGUGGAAUGCGUAGAUAUCUGGAGGAACAUCCGUGGCGAAAGCGGCUCACUGGGACAAGACUGACGCUGAGGCUCGAAAGCGUGGGGAGCGAACGGGAUUAGAUACCCCGGUAGUCCACGCCGUAAACGUUGUGCACUAGGUGUAGGAGGUAUCGACCCCUCCUGUGCCGUAGCUAACGCAUUAAGUGCACCGCCUGGGGAGUACGAUCGCAAAGAUUG
rnacentral:rRNA from 1 species